rnacentral:misc_RNA from 1 species
GGAGGAAGAGAAGAUUGUGAAAGGUGAUGAUGUAAUUGUUGAUUUGGAUGCUACAUUGGAAGACUUAUACAUGGGGGGCUCCUUGAAGGUUUGGAGGGAGAAAAACAUUUUAAAGCCGGCCCCUGGUAAGAGGAAGUGCAAUUGCCGAAAUGAGGUUUAUCAUCGACAAAUUGGUCCAGGAAUGUUUCAGCAGAUGACUGAACAGGUCUGUGACAAAUGCCCCAACGUGAAGUUUGAAAGGGAAGGGUACCAUAUUACUGUGGAUAUUGAGAAAGGAAUGCAAGAUGGCCAGGAAGUGGUCUUUUAUGAGGAUGGUGAGCCUAAGAUAGAUGGUGAACCUGGAGACCUGAAGUUCCGCAUCCGCACAGCUCCUCAUGACCAAUUCACAAGAGAAGUAAACGACCUUCGCACCACCGUUACUAUAACUCUGGUGCAAGCUCUGGUUGGUUUCGAGAAGACCAUCAAACAUCUCGAUGAUCAUCUGGUGGACAUUAGUUCAAAGGGAAUCACUAAACCUAAAGAAGUGAGGAAGUUUAAAGGUGAAGGGAUGCCGCUACAUUACAGUAACAAGAAGGGUGAUUUAUAUGUUAAAUUUGAGGUUCUUUUCCCCACGUCAUUGACGGAGGACCAAAAGAAACAGAUCAAGGAGGUUCUUGGUUAGGAUACAGUAUAUCAUUUGGUCCCAAGUAAUGAAUUCUGGACAUCUGCUUUGAAGGUGCGUUGUACGUCAGACUUGGUAUAAUCUUCCAGGCGUCUGCGUUGUUUUUUUUCAAGGCCCUUGUACCAAAUUCAUAUUUCCUUUUUUCUCAAUUUUUGGGUGGAGGUUCUUGGUUAGGAUACAGUAUAUCAUUUGGUCCCAAGUAAUGAAUUCUGGACAUCUGCUUUGAAGGUGCGUUGUACGUCAGACUUGGUAUAAUCUUCCAGGCGUCUGCGUUGUUUUUUUUCAAGGCCCUUGUACCAAAUUCAUAUUUCCUUUUUUCUCAAUUUUUGGGUGGAGGUUCUCAUUUGGAUUAUAGAAUAGAACCCAUUUACAUGUAUUGAACAAUGAUUCAUAGAGUAGAUGGAAAUAUGUAUAUUACUAGCCCAGUGAUUCACAUAUAUUUGGAUGACUGAGUAGCCUAUUGUCUGCUGCUCUAUUUUAAGAUGG